AUGAACGCUGGCGGCGUGCCUAAUACAUGCCAGUAGAACGCUGAAGGCAGGAGCUUGCUCUUUCCGGAUGAGUUGCGAACGGGUGAGUAACGCGUAGGUAACCUGCCUGGUAGCGGGGGAUAACUAUUGGAAACGAUAGCUAAUACCGCAUAACAGUAGAUGUUGCAUGAUAUCUACUUAAAAGGUGCAAUUGCACCACUACCAGAUGGACCUGCGUUGUAUUAGCUAGUUGGUGAGGUAACGGCUCACCAAGGCGACGAUACAUAGCCGACCUGAGAGGGUGAUCGGCCACACUGGGAAGGAGACACGGCCCAGACUCCUACGGGAGGCAGCAGUAGGGAAUCUUCGGCAAUGGACGGAAGUCUGACCGAGCAACGCCGCGUGAGUGAAGAAGGUUUUCGGAUCGUAAAGCUCUGUUGUAAGAGAAGAACGAGUGUGAGAGUGGAAAGUUCACACUGUGACGGUAUCUUACCAGAAAGGGACGGCUAACUACGUG
rnacentral:rRNA from 1 species